rnacentral:misc_RNA from 1 species
AGAGAUGUUGAUUGUUCUUGAUUCUUUGUCAAUAAAUACAGGAGGCUUCCCAUUGGAGUGCCUUCAUGUUGGUACCCCAAUGUGCUGCCCAUGUUUUUGCAGUUGAUCAAGGUCUGGAGCCAUUUUUGUACAGGAAUGGGAGGAUUUGGAAAGGUGUGUAUCAACUCUUUAUCCAAGUUCUGUGAAGAUUUUGUCCCAAGUUGGCGGAUAAGAUUGGAUUGGGAAAAUUUUGUAAGAGAAUGGGGUGCUAAUGGCAGUAAUGGUGAUCAUUUGUUUAACAGCUUGUUAAAACAAGC